UACGGAGGGUGCGAGCGUUGUCCGGAAUCACUGGGCGUAAAGGGCGCGUAGGCGGCUCGAUAAGGCUGUGGUGAAAGCCCGGGGCUCAACCCCGGGUCGGCCGUGGCGACUGUUGGGCUGGAGCACUGUAGAGGCGGGCGGAAUUCCGAGUGUAGCAGUGAAAUGUGUAGAUAUUCGGAAGAACACCAGUGGCGAAGGCAGCGAAUUGGCCCUAUAUUGACGCUCAGGCACGAAAGCAUGGGGAUCAAACAGG
rnacentral:rRNA from 1 species